rnacentral:rRNA from 1 species
GACGAACCGUGCGAACGUUGUUCGGAUUCACUGGGCUUAAAGGGUGCGUAGGUGGCUUUAUAAGUCAGUGGUGAAAUACAGCCGCUCAACGGUUGAGGUGCCAUUGAUACUGUAGAGCUUGAAACAAGUGGAGGCUGCCGGAAUGGAUGGUGUAGCGGUGAAAUGCAUAGAUAUCAUCCAGAACACCGAUUGCGAAGGCAGGUGGCUACGUUUGAUUUGACACUGAGGCACGAAAGCAUGGGGAGCAAACAGG